rnacentral:lncRNA from 10 species
AUUCUCAUGAUAGUGAGUGAGUUCUCAUGAGAGCUGAUGGUUUUAAAGUGUGGCACUUCCUUGAUCAUGCUCACACUCUCUCCUGCCGUCUUGUGAAGAAGGUGCCUGCUUCCCCUCCUGCCAUGCCUGUAAGUUACCUGAAGCCUCCCCAGCCAUGUGGAACUGAGGCCUCAUGAGACUGCAGAUGACCAGUUACAGGAGAAUCAUCAGAAAGAGAACAAGAAAGACUGAGAUGCUUGGAGCUGAGCCUCUCACAUCUCGCAUGGUGAUUCUGUGGUUAUGAGGGACCCUGAGUUCAAAUUUCUGCUCUUCUAUUUCCCAUUCUCGGCUUCCUUUCUGAAAAUCACCUCAUUGCUCAAAUUACUGCUGGCCAUCCAAUCAUCAGAACCAUU